rnacentral:sRNA from 1 species
AGGUUUAUUUCUUUUCGUUUUUUUUUUUGUGUUUU